rnacentral:other from 1 species
UGUCUCCUGAGGUGUUGGCGUGUUCAUACAUGUCCCUGGCCGAUGCUUUAAACCUAGGAAGUUGACUCCACUGCUUUUGUGCAAGCUCAACCCGUAUUGAGAAGCCUACGGUAGUGAUGAUACUUCCGCCCUGAACAUUUCGGCGUUCUGGGCGAAUUAUGAUCCGCGGCAUCUUGGGUGACAA